rnacentral:rRNA from 1 species
CCUACGGUGGACUGCAGUGAGGAAUAUUGGUCAAUGGCCGAGAGGCUGAACCAGCCAAGUCGCGUGAGGGAAGACGGCCCUACGGGUUGUAAACCUCUUUUGUCGGGGAGCAAAGCGAGUCACGUGUGACUCAUUGAGAGUACCCGAAGAAAAAGCAUCGGCUAACUCCGUGCCAGCAGCCGCGGUAAUACGGAGGAUGCGAGCGUUAUCCGGAUUUAUUGGGUUUAAAGGGUGCGCAGGCGGAGGUGCAAGUCAGCGGUCAAAUUGCGGGGCUCAACCCCGUACUGCCGUUGAAACUGGCGUUCUUGAGUGGGCGAGAAGUAUGCGGAAUGCGUGGUGUAGCGGUGAAAUGCAUAGAUAUCACGCAGAACUCCGAUUGCGAAGGCAGCAUACCGGCGCCCAACUGACGCUGAAGCACGAAAGCGUGGGUAUCGAACAGGAUUAGAUACCCGGGUAGUC